rnacentral:lncRNA from 1 species
UAUAAAUAUAUAUAUAUUUGCAUGUUUUCGAAGUUCUGUGUUCGAUUUUGGAUGUAGUUAUGGCGACAGUUUCUGUUACUAUAUGUUUUCGUGAACUGCUCCGCGAUGUUUGCCAGUGCUUUUCUCAGGCCAUGCCGAUGUAUGGUAUCCUAGGUGAAAAUGAAGAAGGGUUGGUUAGUGUUUACGUUGAUUUGGAUGUUCGGAGGGAGGACACUGUAGUGGAGUCUGUGAGAUGUUGGAGCACACCAUGUG